AUAGCAAACUGCUUAGUAACACAUGAUCAACUUGCCCUAUGGAGAAAAAUAACCUCGGGAAACUGAGGAUAAUGUUUCAUAGUUGAAUAGGCUUGGAAAAGUUUUUCAAUGAAAGGAAUAAGAUAAAUGGAUCUUAUUUGCCAUAGGAUAGGAUCGUGGUCGAUUAUGGUAGUUGGUGAGAUAACGGCUCACCAAGCCGAUAAUCGAUAGGGGCCGUGAGAGCGGGAGCCCCAAGAUGGGUACUGAGACAGCGACCCAGGCCUUACGAGGCGCAGCAGGCGCGAGACCUCCGCAAUACACGAAAGUGUGACGGGGUUACCCAAAGUGUUCUCUUAAGAACUGUGGCAGGUGAGUAAUGUCCCCUGCUAGAAAGGAGAGGGCAAGGCUGGUGCCAGCCGCCGCGGUAAAACCAGCUCUUCAAGUGGUCGGGAUAAUUAUUGGGCUUAAAGUGUCCGUAGCCGGUUUAGUAAGUUCCUGGUAAAAUCGGGUAGCUUAACUAUCUGCAUGCUAGGAAUACUGCUAUACUAGAGGGCGGGAGAGGUCUGAGGUACUACAGGGGUAGGGGUGAAAUCUUAUAAUCCUCGUAGGACCACCAGUGGCGAAGGCGUCAGACUGGAACGCGCCUGACGGUGAGGGACGAAAGCCAGGGGAGCGAACCGGAUUAGAUACCCGGGUAGUCCUGGCCGUAAACGAUGCAUACUAGGUGAUGGUACGGCCAUGAGCCGUAUCAGUGCCGUAGGGAAACCGUUAAGUGUGCCGCCUGGGAAGUACGGUCGCAAGGCUAAAACUUAAAGGAAUUGGCGGGGGAGCACCACAAGGGGUGAAGCCUGCGGUUCAAUUGGACUCAACGCCGGGAAACUUACCAGGGGAGACAGCAGAAUGAGGGUCAGGUUGACGACCUUACCUGAUGAGCUGAGAGGAGGUGCAUGGCCGUCGCCAGUUCGUGCUGUGAGGUAUCCUGUUAAGUCAGGCAACGAACGAGAUCCGCACCUUUAUUUGCCAACAAGAAGUUACGACUUCGUUGGGAACACUAAAGGGACCGCCGUCGAUAAGACGGAGGAAGGAGCGGGCAAAGGCAGGUCAGUAUGCCCCGAAACCCCUGGGCUACACGCGGGCUGCAAUGGUAUGAACAAUGGGCUGUAACUCCGAAAGGAGAAACCAAUCCCGAAAUCAUAUCACAGUGGGGAUUGUUGGCUGUAACCCGCCGACAUGAACGUGGAAUCCCUAGUAAUCGUGUGUCAUCAUCGCACGGUGAAUACGUCUCUGCUCCUUGCACACACCGCCCGUCGCUCCAUCCGAGUGUACUAAAAAUGAGGUUUGGUCAGACUGGUCAUAUCGAGUUUCUAGUAUGCGAGGAGGGAGAAGUCGUAACAAGGUA
rnacentral:rRNA from 1 species